rnacentral:rRNA from 1 species
UACGUAGGGGGCGAGCGUUGUCCGGAUUUAUUGGGCGUAAAGAGCUCGUAGGCGGCUUAGCAAGUCGGGUGUGAAAACUCCAGGCUCAACCUGGAGACGCCACUCGAGACUGCUAUGGCUAGAGUCCGGUAGGGGACCACGGAAUUCCUGGUGUAGCGGUGAAAUGCGCAGAUAUCAGGAGGAACACCGGUGGCGAAGGCGGUGGUCUGGGCCGGCACUGACGCUGAGGCGCGAAAGCGUGGGGAGCAAACAGG